UAUUGUUACUAUUUAAAAAAUAUAGUUAAGGGCAGAAAAAUUUAAACUGUUUUGGCCCUUGGAACAUCCUGACAAAAUCAUUACGGCCCUAAGGCUUCAAA